rnacentral:rRNA from 1 species
UACGAAGGGGGCUAGCGUUGCUCGGAAUCACUGGGCGUAAAGGGUGCGUAGGCGGGUCUUUAAGUCAGGGGUGAAAUCCUGGAGCUCAACUCCAGAACUGCCUUUGAUACUGAAGAUCUUGAGUUCGGGAGAGGUGAGUGGAACUGCGAGUGUAGAGGCGAAAUUCGUAGAUAUUCGCAAGAACACCAGUGGCGAAGGCGGCUCACUGGCCCGAUACUGACGCUGAGGCACGAAAGCGUGGGAGCAA